AGAGCGAACGCUGGCGGCAGGCCUAACACAUGCAAGUCGAGCGGCCGUAGCAAUACGGCAGCGGCAGACGGGAGAGUAACACGUGGGAACGUACCCUUCAGUUCGGAACAACCCAGGGAAACUUGGGCUAAUACCGAAUACGUCCGUAAGGAGAAAGAUUUAUCGCUGAAGGAUCGGCCCGCGUCUGAUUAGCUAGUUGGUGAGGUAACGGCUCACCAAGGCUACGAUCAGUAGCUGGUCUGAGAGGAUGAUCAGCCUCACUGGGACUGAGACACGGCCCAGACUCCUACGGGAGGCAGCAGUGGGGAAUAUUGGACAAUGGGCGCAAGCCUGAUCCAGCCAUGCCGCGUGGAUGAUGAAGGCCUUAGGGUUGUAAAGUCCUUUCGACGGGGAAGAUAAUGACGGUACCCGUAGAAGAAGCCCGGCUAACUUCGUGCCAGCAGCCGC
rnacentral:rRNA from 1 species